AACGAACGCUGGCGGCAGGCUUAACACAUGCACGUCGAACGCAUCCUUCGGGGUGAGUGGCAGACGGGUGAGUAACGCGUGGGAACGUGCCCUUCAGUUCGGGAUAACCCAGGGAAACUUGGGCUAAUACCGGAUACGUGCGAGAGCAGAAAGAUUUAUCGCUGAAGGAUCGGCCCGCGUCUGAUUAGCUAGUUGGUGGGGUAAUGGCCCACCAAGGCGACGAUCAGUCGCUGGUCUGAGAGGAUGAUCAGCCACAUUGGGACUGAGACACGGCCCAAACUCCGACGGGAGGCAGCAGGGGGGAAUAUUGGACAAUGGGCGCAAGCCUGAUCCAGCCGUGCCGCGUGAGUGAUGAAGGCCUUAGGGUUGUAAAGCUCUUUCGUCCGGGACGAUAAUGACGGUACCGGAAGAAGAAGCCCCGGCUAACUUCGUGCCAGCAGCCGCCGUAA
rnacentral:rRNA from 1 species